CGGAGCGUAGCUCAGCCUGGUAGAGCACUUGGUUUGGGACCAAGACGUCGCCGGUUCAAAUCCGGCCGCUCCGACCA
rnacentral:tRNA from 1 species